UUUGCAAUGGCGAUUGUCGGGAUUAGUAGCCUAGUGCAAGAAGUGCACUAGGCUACUAAUCCCGACAAUCGCCGUAGUAAAGCU
rnacentral:pre_miRNA from 1 species